AGAGUUUGAUCCUGGCUCAGAGCGAACGCUGGCGGCAGGCUUAACACAUGCAAGUCGAGCGGGCCUUUCGGGGUCAGCGGCGGACGGGUGAGUAACGCGUGGGAACGUGCCUUCUGGUUCGGAAUAACCCUGGGAAACUAGGGCUAAUACCGGAUACGCCCUUUUGGGGAAAGGUUUACUGCCGGAAGAUCGGCCCGCGUCUGAUUAGCUAGUUGGUGGGGUAACGGCCUACCAAGGCGACGAUCAGUAGCUGGUCUGAGAGGAUGAUCAGCCACACUGGGACUGAGACACGGCCCAGACUCCUACGGGAGGCAGCAGUGGGGAAUAUUGGACAAUGGGCGCAAGCCUGAUCGAGCCAUGCCGCGUGAGUGAUGAAGGCCUUAGGGUUGUAAAGCUCUUUUAUCCGGGACGAUAAUGACGGUACCGGAGGAAUAAGCCCCGGCUAACUUCGUGCCAGCAGCCGCGGUAAUACGAAGGGGGCUAGCGUUGCUCGGAAUCACUGGGCGUAAAGGGCGCGUAGGCGGCGUUUUAAGUCGGGGGUGAAAGCCUGUGGCUCAACCACAGAAUGGCCUUCGAUACUGGGACGCUUGAGUAUGGUAGAGGUUGGUGGAACUGCGAGUGUAGAGGUGAAAUUCGUAGAUAUUCGCAAGAACACCGGUGGCGAAGGCGGCCAACUGGACCAUUACUGACGCUGGGCGCGAAAC
rnacentral:rRNA from 1 species